rnacentral:rRNA from 1 species
CCCGCUGAACUUAAGCAUAUCAAUAAGCGGAGGAAAAGAAACCAACAGGGAUUGCCUUAGUAACUGCGAGUGAAGCGGCAAAAGCUCAAAUUUGAAAUCUGGCGUCUUUGGCGUCCGAAUUGUAAUUUGGAGAGGCAACUUCGGAGAUGGUGCUGUCCCAAGUCCCUUGGAACAGGAUGACAUAGAGGGUGAGAUCCCCGUGCCUGGAUGGCUGUCCAUCUUCAUGUGAAUUGCCUUCGAAGAGUCGAGUUGUUUGGGAAUGCAGCUCAAAAUGGGUGGUAAAUUUCAUCUAAAGCUAAAUAUUGGCCAGAGACCGAUAGCGCACAAGUAGAGUGAUCGAAAGAUGAAAAGCACUUUGAAAAGAGAGUUAAACAGUAUGUGAAAUUGUUGAAAGGGAAGCGCUUGCAACCAGACUUGUGUUUAACGGUUCCCCCAGUCUUCUGACCGGGCUACUCCGUUAUAUCCAGGCCAGCAUCGGUUCGGAUGGUUGGUGAAAGGCCUUGGGAAUGUAUCUACCUUCGGGUCGACUUAUAGCUCAGGGUGUAAUGCAGCCUAUCUGGACCGAGGAACGCGCUUUUGCUCGGAUGCUGGCGUAAUGGUUGUAAGCGGCCCGUCUUGAAACACGG